AGCACCGCAACGGGAGGAGCGUGCGGUUUAAUUGGAUUCAACGCCGGAAAACUCACCAGGAGAGACCAUGGUAUGAGUGUCAGCCUGAAGAGCUUACACGAUUACAUGGAGAGGUGGUGCAUGGCCGUCGUCAGCUCGUACCGUAGAGCGUUCACUUAAGUGUGAUAACGAGCGAGACCCCCGUCCACUUUUGCUAAUAUGGUCGCGAGACCAUAUGCACUAUGUGGAGACUGCCAGUGUUAAACUGGAGGAAGGAGAGGUCAACGGCAGGUCAGUAUGCCCCGAAUUUCCUGGGCAACACGCGCGCUACAAAGGACGGAACAAUGGGUUGCGAUUCCGAAAGGAAGAGCUAAUCCCGAAAUCCGUUCGUAGUUCAGACUGAGGGCUGUAAUUCGCCCUCACGAAGCUGGAUUCCGUAGUAAUCGCGAUUCAACAGAUCGCGGUGAAUAUGCCCCUGCUCUUUGCACACACCGCCUGUCAAGCCAUCCGAGUUGGUUCUGGAUGAGGGGAUACUUCUUGGUGUCUUCGAAUCUAGGAUUGAUGAGGAGGGCUAAGUCAUAACAAGGUAUCCGUAGGGGAACCUGCGGAUG
rnacentral:rRNA from 1 species